rnacentral:rRNA from 1 species
UUUGAACGCUGGCGGCAGGCCUAACACAUGCAAGUCGAGCGGAUGAUGGGAGCUUGCUCCCGGAUUCAGCGGCGGACGGGUGAGUAAUGCCUAGGAAUCUGCCUGGUAGUGGGGGACAACGUUUCGAAAGGAACGCUACUACCGCAUACGUCCUACGGGAGAAAGCAGGGGACCUUCGGGCCUUGCGCUAUCAGAUGAGCCUAGGUCGGAUUAGCUAGUUGGUGGGGUAAAGGCCUACCAAGGCGACGAUCCGUAACUGGUCUGAGAGGAUGAUCAGUCACACUGGAACUGAGACACGGUCCAGACUCCUACGGGAGGCAGCAGUGGGGAAUAUUGGACAAUGGGCGAAAGCCUGAUCCAGCCAUGCCGCGUGUGUGAAGAAGGUCUUCGGAUUGUAAAGCACUUUAAGUUGGGAGGAAGGGCAGUAAGUUAAUACCUUGCUGUUUUGACGUUACCAACAGAAUAAGCACCGGCUAACUUCGUGCCAGCAGCCGCGGUAAUACGAAGGGUGCAAGCGUUAAUCGGAAUUACUGGGCGUAAAGCGCGCGUAGGUGGUUUGGUAAGAUGGAUGUGAAAUCCCCGGGCUCAACCUGGGAACUGCAUCCAUAACUGCCUGACUAGAGUACGGUAGAGGGUGGUGGAAUUUCCUGUGUAGCGGUGAAAUGCGUAGAUAUAGGAAGGAACACCAGUGGCGAAGGCG